AGCAGCUUUCACACACACAGGAUCACAUCCAGUUCCUGCAGAGUUUCCAGUCUCUCUCAGCACCUCCUGAAUCUACAGACGUAAAUGAUGAUCUCUUCAGUUCUCUCGUCUCUUCUGAUGCUCUGAGAGAAUCUGUUCAUCAGCUGAGAGACAAACUGGAGGAUUUCUGCAAAGAGCAGCUCAAGAAGAUCUCAGACAGAGAAACACUCACCAACAUUGUUCCCAGAAGCAGGAACCACUUCCUACAAUGUAAGUCAGUAAGAAAACCAGCAGAAAACUC